AACGAACGCUGGCGGCGUGGAUAAGACAUGCAAGUCGAACGCUAAUUUCAGGGUAGCAAUAUUUUGAAGUUGGAGUGGCGCAAGGGUGCUUAACACGUGGGUUAUCUGCCAUGAAGUCUGGGAUAACUUGCUGAAAGGCGAGCUAAUACCGGAUGUGAUCGUGAGAUCAAAGUUGGGGACCGCAAGGCCUGACGCUUUAUGAUGAGCCCGCGGCCUAUCAGCUAGUUGGUGAGGUAAUGGCUCACCAAGGCUAAGACGGGUAGCUGGUCUGAGAGGACGACCAGCCACACUGGAACUGAGACACGGUCCAGACACCUACGGGUGGCAGCAGUCGAGAAUGUUUCUCAAUGGGCGAAAGCCUGAAGGAGCGACGCCGCGUGGGGGAUGAAUGGCUUCGGCCCGUAAACCCCUGUCAUUUGCGAACAAGUUGAUUCACUUAACACGUGAAUCAUUGAUUGUAGCGGAAGAGGAAGGGACGGCUAACUCUGUGCCAGCAGCCGCCGUAA
rnacentral:rRNA from 1 species